AGGUGUGACCACAGGAGUAAGAGAAGCCAGGAGGAAUUCAUGUAGAAAGACUAAAUGAGCCUUUAAAAUGAUGUUUUUGAAAGCCCUAAUGGAGUGAAACAAAGUCUAUAGUAUAAUUUUAAGUCAAAAAAAGGCAGUAUUCAAAAUUGUAUAUACAGUAAAUAAGCUGAAAUAUAUAAAAUUUAGCAUAUCUCUACAUUACCACCUCCCCCCUUCCUCCACCACCACCACCACACACACAACACUUACCCAAGAUUAGGGAACAAAGUGUUGUCAUUUUAGUGGUCAAUGAUACUCAAAUGAUAGUGUGUCCAGCAUUGGUGGGUUCUUGGUCUCGCUGACUUCAAGAAUGAAGUCACAGACCCUCGUGGUGAGUGUUACAGUUCUUGAAGAUGGGUGUGUCUGGAGUUUCUUCCUUCUGGUGGAUUCCUGGUCUCACUAACUUCAGGAGUGAAGCUGCAGACCUUUGCGGGUGAGUAUUACAGCCCCUAAAGGCGGCACGUCUGGAGUUGUUCAUUCCUCCUGGUGGGUUCACGGUCUCGCUGUCCUCAGGAGCGAAGCUGCAGACGUUCACGGUGUUACAGCUCAUAAAGGCAGCAGGGACCCAAAGACUGAGUAGCAACAGAAUUUAUUGCGAGAGUGAAAGAACAAACACUCCACAAACUGAAAGGCAACCUCAACUACCAGCAGCUGCUGGCUUGGGUGGUCUGCUUUUAUUCCCUUAUCUGGCCCCACCCACAUACUGCUGAUUGGUCCAUUUUACAGAGUGCUGAUUGGUGUGUUUACAAACCUUUAGCCAGACACAAAAGUUCUCCAAGUCCCCUACCUGAUUAGCUAGACACACAGCACUGAUUGGUGCAUUUACAAACCUUUAGCUAGACACAGAGUGCUGACUGGUGUGUUUACGAUCCUUUAGCUAGACAGAAAAGUUCUCCAGGUCCCUACCUGACCCAGAAGCCCAACCGGCUUCACCUCUCCAUGGCACUCUCCGCGGAACUUUGCGGCACCUAGCCCGGGCACUCCAGGCGGCGCAGAGGGAGCUCAUCCCCUCAUCAAGCCCAGCAGGCGCCGGCCGCACGCGGGGCCUGCGGAGUCCACGCCCACCCGGAACUCGCGCCAGCCCGCGAGCGCCUCGCGCAGCCCGGGCUCCCGCUGGCGCCUCUCCCUCCACACCUCCCUGCCGGCAGGGGGAACCAGCUCCGGCCUCGGCCAGCCCCAGAGAGGGCCCCCACAGCUUAGCGGCGGACUGAAGGCUCCUCGAACGCUGCCAGAGUGGACGCUGAGGCCGAGGAGGCGCGGAGAGCGAGUGAGGGCUGCUAGCACGUUGCUGUCACCUCUCGGUAAAAGUUUUGCGUUCGGUUGGAUAUAAGAAGAGCAUAUUUUACCCAAAUUCUCCCCUGUAAAGCCAACUGAAAACAAUGAAGGACAUAAAAAGACAGUGAUAAAUGCCUAUAAUUGAUGUAGAAGACAUCCAUCCUGUCAAUCAAUAAACUAUAAAUAAUCAUCACUAAAUAUUGUGAAAUAUGACCAUACUGAAGGAAGAUUUUAAAAACAUGUAAGUACUCCUGCAGAACAUGGAAAGCUAGAAGAGAUCUCCAUAGUCAGGUGACUUAUUCUAAGGGGUACAUUUAUUGACUUAUAAAGUACAUGACAGUACUAUAAGAGUGUCAAUGAGUUUUUAUCGAAACCUCAGCCAUAGUGCAGAAGGGGCCAAAUGAAGAUAACCACUGUGUUAGUCAGGUUUGUUGUAUAUAUACACAGCUAUGUGUUGCUUAAUGUCAGGGAUGGAUAUAACCUAUUGCUUCUAGGCUACAACCUUGUAAAACAUGUUACUCUCCUGAAUACUCUAGGCAAUUGAAAUACAAUGGUAAGUAUUCGUGUAUCUAAAUAGAUCUAAACAUAGAAAAUGUACAGUAUAAUUAUGACAUAACAGAUAAAAGAUGGUACACAUGUAUAAGGCAGUUACCAUGAGUGGGGCCUUCGAGACUGGAAAUUGCUCUGCAUGAGUCAGUGGGUGGUGAAUGAAUGUGAAUGUGAAGGUUUAACAUUACUAUACACUACUGUAGAUUUUAUAAACACUGUGCAUUUAGGUUACACUAAAUUUAUUUUAAAAAAUUAUUCCACGCCGGGCGCGGUGGCUCAUGCCUGUAAUCCCAGUACUUUGGGAGGCUGAGGUGGGAGGAUCACGAGGUCAGGGGAUCAAGACCAUCCUGGCUAACAUGGUGAAACCCCGUCUCUACUAAAAAAAUGGAAAAAAUUAACCGGGCGUGGUGCCGGGCGCCUGUAGUCCCAGCUAUUCUGGAGGCUGAGGCAGGAGAAUGGCAUGAACCUGGGAGGCAGAGCUUGCAGUGAGGUGAGAUCCUGCCACUGCACUCCAGCCUGGGCAACAGACCUCAAAAAGUAACAUAACAUAACAUAACAUAACAUAACAUAACAUAACAUAACAUAACGUAAAAUAAAUCUUAUUCCAUUGUAGGCUGGGCACGGUGACUCAUGCCUGUAAUCCCAGCACUUUGGGAGGCCAAGGUGGGCGGAUCACAAGGUCAGGAGUUCAAGACCAGACUGGGCAAUAUGGUGAAACCCCGUCUCUACUAAAAAUACAAAAAUUAGAUGGGCAUGUUGGCACAUGCUGAGAUUGAGCCACUGUACUCCAGACUGGGCCACAGAGAGAAGCUCCGUCUCAAAAAAAAAAAAAAAAAUUCCGUAAUAAAUAACCUUAGCUUACUGUAACUAUUCUUACUUUGUAUAAUUUUAAUUUUUUUUAAAUUUUGGACUCUUUUAUAAUAAUACCUAGCUUAAAACACAAAUACAUUUUAUAGCCAUACAAAAAUAUUUUCUUUCUUGAUGUCCUUAUUCUGUAAGCUUUUUUUCAUUUUUUAAACUUUUGUACUUUUUUGUUAGAAACUAAGACACAAACACACACAUUUGGCUAGGCCUAUACAGGGUCAAGAUCAUCAAUAUCACUGUCUCCCGCCUCCAUAUAUUGUCCCAGUAGAAGGUCUUAAGGUGCAAUAACAGGCAUAGAACUGCCCUCUCUUAUGAUAACAAUGCCUUCUUCUGCAAUACCUCCUGAAGGGCCUGCCUGAGGCUGUUUUACAAUUAACUUUUUUUUUUUUAAAUGAGUAGAAGGAGUACACUAUAAAAUAAUUUAAAAGGUGUAGUAUAGUGAAUACAUAAACUAGUAAUACAGCUAUUUAUCAUCAUUGUCAUGUAUUAUGUACUAUCUAUAAUUGUACGUGCUAAACUUUUAUAUGAAUGCUAGCACAGUAGGUUUGUUUAUAGCAGCAUCACCACAAACACGAGUAAUGCAUUGCACUAUGACCAUACAAUAGCUAUGACAUCACUAAACAAUAGGAAUUUUUCAGCUUCAUUAUAAUAUGUACGGGACAACUGUGUAUAUGUGGUUCAUCAUUGACUGAAAUAUGGUACAUGACUGCCUACAAACAUGCACACACAAACACACACACACACACACACACACCCUGAGAAGUAUCAGAAUCUGCUGUCUGCAAGCGGGAGACCCAGGAAAGCCAAAGAGGUAAUUUAGCUGAGUCCCCAGGCUUGAGAACCAGUGAAUCCGUGCUAUAAAAUUAGACCAAGGUCUGGAGACGAUGAAAUGUGAUGUACCAGUUCAAGUGGUAUGGCAAGAAAAAAGGGGAAAUUUCCUCCUUCCUUCGGCUUUUGUUCUUUUCAGGCCUUUAGUGAACUGGAUGAAUGACCACUCACAUUGAGAAAUGCCAUCUGCUUUACUGAGUCCACCAGUUCAGAUCCUGUCUCAUUCAAAAACAUUCUUAUGGACAUACCCAGAAAUAAUGUUUAAACUGGAAACCCUGGGGCUAGUCAAAUUGAUACAUAAAAUUAAUGAUGGCAAGCACACAAACUAACUUUGCAAGAAGCUGGUUGCUUUUGUGGCAAAAUGAAUGAAAAACCAGAGUGAGUAAUCACAUACGAAUCUACUGAUCUUGCCAGUUUACUUAAACAUAAACAAUAAGCCCACAAUAAUAAUUGUAAUGUGUGAUUUUUUUGCUGUAGAAUUAGCAGACCUUCUAAUUACUUGGAAUAGAAUCAUGUUUCUGGCGUAGAUUAUGUCAACUAAAUUAAAUGCAACCUGCCUGCUGUUUAGCACCCUUUGUAAAUCUCUCUCCACCUACAGUCUUUAGCAAACUGCAGCUCAGAAUAAAUGUCCCAGAUUUAAAAAAAAAAAUAUGAAAGUCUCCAACAUUGUAAUUACUCAACGACACAGCCAGGAGAAAAGAGAAAUAUCAAAGAAAUGUAAAUAAUUUCAAGUAUAAAUAUGAGCAUAAUGCUCACAAAAGAUAACUAAAAAUGAGUUACAAGCACUUUUUUUCAUAAAAUCAAGGUAAUUAAAAAAUUAAUGUUACCCUGAAAGGAGACUUAAAGGUAUAGACAACAGUGAUUAAAAAGAGAAAAACAAAUAAAUAGUAAGAUGGAAAGUAAGAUAGCAAUAAAUGGAAAAUUUAAAAAGAGCUUCAGUUAUUAAAAUUAUAUUAAAAAUAGCAAAUACAAGAGUAGACAUUGCUAAAAACAUUGCGAACAAAAUAGGCUUCAGAAAAUUGAACAAAAUAAAACAAUAAAAUAUUUUAAAAGAAUUACAGAGAAAAUGACAGAUCUGAAAGGCAGUCACAAGAUAAUAUAAUGUGCACAUACUUGGUGUUUCAGAUGAAGUAAAAAGUACAAAUGAAACAGGAGAAAUAUUAAGGAUGUAGUAAAAGAAAACUUUCCAAAAGUUAAAAAAGAAGUGAAUCUAAAGAACAAAUAGGAAAAUUGUACCUUAGAAAAACUUUAUACAGGAUAAAAACAAAGAAUAAAUGAUAAAGUAUAAACAAUGAAAGGGUUAUCUAGGAAAAAUGUUCAAUUUAUGCAUAAAAGGGAAAAAUUCAGGCUAGCUUCAGG
rnacentral:lncRNA from 1 species